UACGGCGGGGGCUAGCGUUGUUCGGAAUUACUGGGCGUAAAGCGCGCGUAGGCGGACCUGCAAGUCGGGGGUGAAAGCCCGAGGCUCAACCUCGGAACUGCCUUCGAUACUGCGGGUCUCGAGUCCGGGAGAGGUGAGUGGAAUUCCUAGUGUAGAGGUGAAAUUCGUAGAUAUUCGCAAGAACACCAGUGGCGAAGGCGGCUCACUGGCCCGAUACUGACGCUGAGGCACGAAAGCGUGGGGAGCAAACAGG
rnacentral:rRNA from 1 species